GGAGUGCCGGGAGUCUUUUGCAGGACUUUUCAGGUCCAAGUGGGUCACCUGGAGCCGAAAGAGAUCUCCCUCAAAGGAGAGGGGGUCUUUCCCCGGACCUACUUGGACCUGCCCAGGAACACCAAAGGAAACAAACAGUAUGAGAAGAUCCUCAGAGGCAAGAGCAAAGAUGGACUAAGACAGCCAGAGGGAUGAAGCAGUGGUUCUGGGGGAGGCUGUGGCCGUGGAGCCACCCACGGACAACUCGGGCACCGUGUUCGACACUCGGCUGCAGAUGCAGAUGGAGCAGGUGCUGAUAGAGGAACACGCCCUGGAGCAGCAGAAAGCUCUCGCCUCCGGUCCCUCGGAGGACACUGCCUUUGACCAGCGUGCUCGUCGGAGGCUUCUCAAAGCUGAGCUGCCCGAGUACAUCCUGGACUUUGGCUAUGUCGUUCUCGGGAACAUCCACACACACACAUCGUGAAGAUCACCAACACCGGGCAGUCCAAAGGACGUGGCCUGUGUGACACAGGUUUCAGCGUGGACCUGGACCAUGUGAAGCACCUGCCCUGCUGCAAGACCAAGACAUUCGAAGUGUGCUUCAACCCACCAAGUGUCAACCUGCCACUGGGAGCGGUGGACGUG